GUGAACGCCCUCACGGGCUUAUACUAUUCCAAACCUCUGUGAACCGUGCCCUUCGGGGCUAUUUUACAAACAUGGUGUAAUGAACGUCAUAUAUCAUAACAAAACA
rnacentral:misc_RNA from 1 species